rnacentral:rRNA from 1 species
CCUACGGGAGGCAGCACUCGGGCCAGACUCCUACGGGAGGCAGCAGUGAGGGAUAUUGCGCAAUGGGCGAAAGCCUGUCGCAGCAACGCCGCGUAGAGGAAGAAGGCCUUGGGAUAGUAAACCCCUUUUAUGACGGAAGAGGAAGGA